rnacentral:rRNA from 1 species
GACGAACGCUGGCGGCGUGCUUAACACAUGCAAGUCGAACGAUGAAGCCUAGCUUGCUAGGUGGAUUAGUGGCGAACGGGUGAGUAAUACGUGAGUAACCUACCUUUAACUCUGGGAUAAGCCUGGGAAACUGGGUCUAAUACCGGAUACGACCAAUCUCCGCAUGGGGUGUUGGUGGAAAGCGUUAUGUAGUGGUUAUAGAUGGGCUCACGGCCUAUCAGCUUGUUGGUGAGGUAACGGCUCACCAAGGCGACGACGGGUAGCCGGCCUGAGAGGGUGACCGGCCACACUGGGACUGAGACACGGCCCAGACUCCUACGGGAGGCAGCAGUGGGGAAUAUUGCACAAUGGGCGCAAGCCUGAUGCAGCGACGCCGCGUGAGGGAUGACGGCCUUCGGGUUGUAAACCUCUGUUAGCAGGGAAGAAGAGAGAUUGACGGUACCUGCAGAGAAAGCGCCGGCUAA